rnacentral:rRNA from 1 species
UUGGAGGGCAAGUCUGGUGCCAGCAGCCGCGGUAAUUCCAGCUCCAAUAGCGUAUAUUAAAGUUGUUGCAGUUAAAAAGCUCGUAGUUGAAUUUCGGGAUCAAUUUAUUGGUCGUGCCAACGGUACGCACUGGUACAAUUGGUUUCUCCCUUCUGACGAAGCAUGAUGUCAUUAAUUUGAUGUCGUGGGGAAUCAGGACUGUUACUUUGAAAAAAUUAGAGUGUUUAAAGCAGGCUUUGGCUUGAAUACAUUAGCAUGGAAUAAUGAAAUAGGACGUUUGAUCUUAUUUCGUUGGUUUCUAAGAUCGACGUAAUGAUUAAUAGGGAUAGUUGGGGGCAUUAGUAUUCAAUUGUCAGAGGUGAAAUUCUUGGAUUUAUUGAAGACUAACUACUGCGAAAGCAUUUGCCAAGGAUGUUUUCAUUAAUCAAGAACGAAAGUUAGGGGAUCGAAGACGAUCAGAUACCGUCGUAGUCUUAACCAUAAACUAUGCCGACUAGGGAUCGGAUGAUGUUAAUUUUUUAAUGACUCAUUCGGCGCCUUACGGGAAAC